AGCAUCAGAGUUUCCUGUGAUAGUCUGUUCUUGCACUAUCCUGAUUACACACACACACACACACACACACACACACACACAUAAAACAAGUUUCCAGAUUUUCGUUUUGGGCUGACCUCACCUUAUCCGCCAACAAUCCUGCUUUCUAGAUCAUCAGGCAGAGCACUAGAAUACUAACUCCAAAUAUUUGAGGUCCUGGUCACAAGCCUAGCUAGGACUUUUGGCUCUGCUCCACGGUAUAAGGACUGAGCCAGGCACAGAGCAGCCCCUAAGGUGCUGUUUUCAAGGCAAAGCUAUCCUGGUCACAGAAAGAAUUGAAACCCACAGAGGAGAGAAGAGGAACAACUGGGAAAGGAGUGUGUGUCUGUCUUUCUGUCUGGAGAAGUCGGGACUUCCACUUGUUUCUUGAGGACUCCAGACUUAACUCCCUUUGGGGCAUUUGGCCUGGUUUUCUCCACCCCUUCAUCUGCGCUGACCAGCUCCGGGCUCCGCAGUGCCAGUAACAAGGUCCUCCACCUGCCCUGACUGCUGCAAACCGCUACAGCGCUACAGCAUAAACGGCGGCGCUCAAAGGUGGGGGCUCUGCCGGUUCCGAAGGAUCGCGUCUCAGAAGGUGAUAAUUUGAAAAAUCAGGUGACAUUGAAGUGGGUCGAGGCUUCAAGGUGCCUUCAGAGCUCUGCUAGCGGUGGCUUGGAGCUCUGGGAAGCGGCUCUGCAGACGCUUUGGGCUUGAGAGCUCAGAUUGAGCGACGCGCAGCUGCGGGCCAUUCGCUCCUAGCUUCGCGGACGAGCCGGGUCUCCGAGUGUGCCGCGGGACGUGGUCAGAGUCCAAGAGUCACUGCCCGAACCUGGUGGCUGAAACCCAACCGGAAGCCUCGGAGCCUCCGCCUCCCUCCAGGACCGCUGGGGUCUCCGGUGGGCAUGAAUCAGGUUGUAAGUGGUCGCUGCACAGUCCCAGGAUCAUCGCUGCCCCUUCUCCCGCUCCUCCCCGCCGCACCAUCUUUUUCUUUCAGACCGUGCUUUACAGCCCUUAAUGUGCAUAAAAUAAACUGUGUCCCACGGAACAUGCCGCCUUCUCUCACGCGGGCCGAGAGGAUUGUGAACCGGUAGGCGGCAAAGUGUCACACGGGGAAAGCCCAGACUACGGACUGCUGGGAAUCUGGGUGUACCCGGAGCCUCCCUGGGUGGCCCGGGACUUCGAGGGGCCACCUCUGCUCCCACGGGAUUCGGCCAGGGCACGAAUUGGUGAAAAGCGGGAUGGAGACGCUAGAGGAACACAAUGUCACACGCCAAGCUUUCAAGGUGCACAUGACGGCUGCAGACACUCAAGCCCUUAAAAGGAGCAUUUAAACUUGGGGGGGGGGGAGUACGGAUGGAACUCAGAGGCACACCAAUUAGUGUGAACACAACACUCGCGGGGACUUUGCGGGAGCGUUCACAAUUCCGGAGUGCACGGGGACCGGGAGGUGGCUCCGCCCCGCCUCGCUCCAGUCAAACUUCAGUCUCUGCCGGUAGAAAGGCGUCUCUGCGCUCCCAGGGAUCUACUCGCGCGUCGCCUGUACAAACCCUCUGCUGUGUGGCCUUGUAUCUUUAGGUAGGGGGACAUCUUUUGUCUCUCGGCAAGAAGUUUUCCUCCGGGGAAGAUAAAGUAAUCGAUAGGGCCUUUUUAAAUAGCUCCGAGUUUCCUGUCGGGCCAGGAGUAUCAGCGCGCACACCAAAUCUGCUCUGGUAUGUCAUCUUAUCUCCCUUCCCCGCUGUUGUCCCCAAACGCUGCCUGUCAAGAGAGACGCCACCCGCAUUAGGACCCAGACUGGGGCCCUUCCGCUCGGGGUCACGCGCUGCCCCCUCGGCUCCGCUGUCCUUCGCGUUCCUGGAGGGUGGGAAGGAGAUGCUGCAGCCCGCAUGAAGAUUCUGGGACAUGGAGCGGGUCACUGGGGCACACUGUCACUCAGAACGGGUGUGUGUGGACCGCUUUUCAACCACAAACACAAGGAACAGCCAAACAGCGCAUUGACUGCUUGUCUGUGUGAAGAAAAACCAGGCUCAUUCUUCGAAGGGGCCAUUGGAUCUCAGAGCGCUCCAGGCUGGCCCCAGCUUUCCCUAACUCCAGGAUGACUUUGGAAGGGGAGAGGAGAGGGUCUGGCCUCAGAAUCCUGCCGUUUUCCUUUGCUUCAACUGCUCCACUUCCAACCUGCAGGGAACCGGAGUGGGGUUGCUUAGCCAACACAGAAAGGCCAAGGUAGUGGUGACAAGUGACCACCGCUUGGGCAGUUCUUUCUUUCUUUCUCUCUUUCUUUCUUUCUUUCUUUCUUUCUUUCUUUCUUUCUUUCUUUCUUUCUUUCUUUCUUUCUUUCUUUCUUUCUUUCUUUCUUUCUUUCUUUGUUUUUUCCGAGACAGGGUUUCUCUGUGUAUCCCUGGCUGUCCUGGAACUCACUCUGUAGAUCAGGGUAGCCUCGAACUCAGAAAUCUGCCUGCCUCUGCCUCCCAAGUGCUAGGAUUAAAGGCAUGCACCAUCACUGCCUGGCCACUUUUUUUCUUAAGGUAGUGAGUGAUUCCUGGGGAAAUCUUUGGGCCAGGACUUUGCAGCCUGUGCCCCCCUGGUUCUAAGACAACCUGAUCAGAGAGGUAGGCCCAGAUACUCUUUGAGUGUCUACGCAUCAUUAUGUGCCUGCCCUUCAUUUUUUUUCUAUAUUCAGCCAGCUGUGUCUUCCUUUUUAAACAAAGGAAAAGAAACCCUCUCAGAUGCCCUCCAUCCCCAGGUCCCCAGUCCCCACUGGGUGCAUAUCCAGCCUCCUUUCUGUCACACUGACACACACUGCAGGGGCAGUGGGGAGUUGGGGGGAAUCACUUCUUGGCUGCAAUACAGGCUUGCUCCCUUCCAAUUGCCCAGGAUCAUUCUGGAUUACUCAAACUGCUGAGAGAGGACCACCCACCAAAACACAGCCCCAGGAUAAUCUAGGCCUUGAGAAAAUCUCCCUUGUCAUUUAUCAGGGUUUAUUUACCUAAGAUAGCAGUUUCUGUACGGAAACAAAGUAGGGGCAAGCAUCACCCUCCCCUCCUGCUAAGGAAAAGGCAUCUCUGACUCUUUAGAUCAGCCUUCUCCCAAUGGGCCUGUCCGUAUUAUCCCAGCCCUAACUGAAGCUGAUUCUUGGCAAUAGCAAAAGGUUGAUAUAGGAACCAGUAGUGUUCUCAUAGGAUGGAUUCUGAACUUUCUGUGCUGUGGGGAAACCCACAGACCGCAAACCGAACAACUCAGUGGUUUGGGAGUCAUGGCUCUGGUCUCUUGUGUUAUUCUGACAACUAGUCCUUCCCUUCAGGGCAGACCUGGAGAUGGCCACUUCCCCCACUUAGGCAGAGUGUUCAGUUAGAGCUCUGUUUGAAGAAACAUUUGAAGGGUGUCUUUCCCUCUAACAAAAAAUGGGAGACUAGAGAGUGACAGGAAUGGCUCUCUUCCUGUCCUAUGGAUGUCACCGCCAGGGACACUUAGACCUUUUCUUGAGGGGAAGCUAUAGUGCCUGGUUGGUAAAGGCAAUGGAAAAAGAGGUGGAGCAGCUGGUCCUGCUCUAUCUCUGUGACCCACCCUUCCACUCUGCAGGAGACACAGGGGCAGUAGUUCCUAGUUCUCAGGACUUUUGAUUCCAAUACAAAAGUGCAUAGAAUAAAAGUGAAAUUCAUUUUCCCAAACUGAACGAAAGAACACCCAGCCUGGGCUUCCUCA
rnacentral:lncRNA from 1 species